GGGCCCGGCCCGGCAUGGCGCGGGCCCCUACCGAGCCGUCUCACCGAGGAACCGGUAUGGGGUCCAGUACCGGUUCCUCCGAUCUUGAUCAAAACAAGUAGUUUAAUUCAUGUAAUUGCAUGAACGAAAGUACUUAAAUUAUUGUAAUUGCAUUGCUGGGUAUGUUUCAUGAGUAAAUUAGUGGUUGAUUUUUCCUCCUACUUGAAUAUAUCAGAAAUCUGCCUGGAUUGUAAUCUUGUUAUUAUGUGUUAUCAUAGAUUUUUCACAAAAUUAAUUUUGGGAAGACAUGAAACAUCUAAAUUUAGACGUAAAAGCUGAAGAAUGGUCUAGGCAGGACAGAUCGCAAGAAAUACAGUUAAAUAUUUAGCUUAUGCAUGCAAAAUGUUUAGGUAGAACUCUGACAAAAUUAAGUUCAUGAACAGGUCGUCUCGUCUUUCUUGGUAAAGGUAGUGAUGCCAGCCAAUCAGAGCAAGUAGAGUUGAGAAGUGCAGGCUAUUACUAAGGUGAUGUUGAAGAUGAUCCUGGAUGAUACAUUGUUGUAGAGAUGAAAAGCACAAUGCUGCCUCUUCUGAACAUGCGAGAGAAAUAUCGACAUACUAUUUCUCCAGUUGCACAAUCUGAUGAUCAACCAUGCAACUGUGUGCUCAUAGUGUCAGCCUUUGCUGACGAUUGUGAUUGGCCAUAAAAAUGCAGGAUGUGAUGAGUAUUUUGCUUCAAGAACGCAAGCUAAAUUUGGUAAUUACAUUGUCAAUCAUAUGAAUCUAUCAAAUUUACAAUUUGGGGAGGCUAUUUCUUUUUUUUUUUGGUUAUUUUUAUCUUUCCUUCCAACUCUGUCCAGGCAUUUUCUGCAAUGCUUAUUGGAAGAAUUUUGUUAUGCUAUGAAUUCUUAUGUAUGUUCUCAUUUUGUUUGCUCUUUCAUGCAAAUUCUGUCGGACCGCUUUGAUGGAUUGGCAUCUCUCUCUCUCUCUCUCUCUCAUGUAUCUGGUGGUUAUGCGUGUGUUGCUCCCGUGCGCGUGCACAUGG
rnacentral:lncRNA from 1 species